AAAAAAAGGAUUUUUUGGUGUAGUAAUGUUUAUUAGGUUAACUGUCAUAAUUUUUACUUUCUAAUUGUAAGUAUCAGUGAGAACUGGAAUUAUUCAAGUAAAACUAUAUAUGUCAUUCAAGUAAUAAAUAAACUGUGUGGGAUGAGUACGUUUUAUUAUGUAUUUUCAAGUAAUAUUCAAAGGUUUCAUAGUCAUUGCACAUGAACUUAGAAAUGCCAAGUAAGUUUAAUUAGUGUUGGUGUUUGGAAUCCGCGCAUGCGCCUUGUGAUGCGCAUACAGGACGCAUGCGCUCCGUUUUCCGCCAAAACUCAAGAAGACGACAACGACGGUCAGGUUUAAUGGAGGCAGGAGCACCUAAAUUAUCUUGAAGGUAAGUAAUUCAGGGUUUUUCCUGCAUAUGUAACGAAGUUAAAAUAUAAUAUGAUCCCACUUGCCAUUAUCACACAUCACGUAUCACUGUAGCUUAAUUUUACCAUGGUUACUAAACGCAACUUACUUGUGGACUUGGGUCGUGCGCCCCGGUGUACAGUAGUCAGACCUUGCUGUCCCCUUGGUAAGUGCACAAGUUAUGAGCUCCACCAUCGUUUUCAUUAAUUAUCUUAAUUGUAUACAAAACGAGUGGUUUAUUUUGUUAUGAAACGUAUAGCUCCCAAACGGUCGAGCACCUCCUUUUAAUUUAAAAGUUGACGGUGUUUUUCUUUAUUUAGAUAAUGUGGCCAGUGUGACACGUGUUGCUAGCUAACCAGCUAACCUCUUUUAUUUUUCACUUGCAGUAAGACGUAUGUGUGUGUGUGUGUAAACCGGGACUGACUAUGAUUAAUAACAGAGCUGCCAACUCUCACGCUUUCGCUGUGUGACACCCGUGUUUGCACACGCACUCACGCCACACAUCCGAUUUCUCACACACAAAGCAAUCCGGCCGAGACCCGUUCUUUCCUUUUUCAAAACCCCCCAACGAUAGAUGGCGCUGAUGAGCGCCACUGAGCCAUGUGCGCUGCACCCCGAAAUUAGCCACAGAAGAAGAGAUACCAGUGGCGCGAAAGAACCAAAACGGAAGAAGAAACGGUCGAUACCUCAAGAAGUCUGAAGUCUGAGCUGAGACUGGCUAGGUAUGAAACAAUGAAAUAUCAUCCAAUUCAGUACUCACUCUCUCAAACUUUAAAGCACCCGUGCUAGGCUAAGUUAAUGCUGGAGCCGUCAGACAGCGUUACAGCACGCACAGAGAUGAGAAAGCGACACGUUGAAGCGAGACGGGAGGCUAUUAUUCGCGCCCUGAUGGAAUUCCUGGGGGAGUCUUCAGGUGAACUCAAGGACUACAAGGAUAUCAGCAGAGAGGAAGCUCAAGAGGACCAGGCUUAGCAAGUCCUGAGGAUCUGUGUCUUCCACACAAGUGAAGAAAAUGACGGUGCAUCCAAAAUUGAUGUGUCGAUUGUUAUUGAAGGGACUGAGGUACUUGACAUAUGUGGAAGUGUUGCAAAGGCCUGUCUCCUGCUCAUGGGCAUCAUAUAUGCCAUGAACCUGAGUUAUCCCCCAAAAACGCCUAACCCUUUUUAGUUUCAAGAUAUUCUGCACAGACGUUUAGAACCUCAGGGCAAAACACUGUUCUUUAAGAUCAAACGUUUUAAUGUUAAACCAAUAAUAAGCAUGUAUUUUAAGAUGCACUGAAGUUUCCUGAAGCAUGUCAAAUGUUUUUGUUGAGAGUUCA